rnacentral:rRNA from 1 species
GUCUCUUUGAUUAAUUUAUAUAAAGAGUUGAGCCUGCCCAGUGAUACAUAUUUAACGGCCGCGGUACUCUGACCGUGCAAAGGUAGCAUAAUCAUUUGCCUUAUAAUUGAAGGCUCGUAUGAAUGGUUUGACGAAAACAAAACUGUCUCUUUUUAAUUUUUUAGAACUUGAUUUUUAGGUGAAGAAGCCUAAAUAUAAUUGAAAGACAAGAAGACCCUAUCGAGCUUUAAAAAAUUUUAUUAAAACAAAAGUUACAAAAACUAAUUAUAAUAAAAGAUUUUAGUUGGGGCGACUAAGGAACAAAAAAGCUUCCGGUUUUAUAUUAUAAGCAUAUUAGUCUUGAUCCAAAAUUUUUGAUUAAAAAAAUUAGUUACCGUAGGGAUAACAGCAUAAUCUUUUUUGAGAGCUCUUAUCGAAAAAAAGGUUUGUGACCUCGAUGUUGGACUAGAAUAUCCCAAAUGGCGCAGAAGUCUUUAAUGGUUGGUCUGUUCGACCACUAAUAUUCUACGUGAUCUGAGUUCAGACCGG